GACGAACGCUGGCGGCGUGCCUAAUACAUGCAAGUAGAACGCACAGUUUAUACCGUAGCUUGCUACACCAUAGACUGUGAGUUGCGAACGGGUGAGUAACGCGUAGGUAACCUGCCUGGUAGCGGGGGAUAACUAUUGGAAACGAUAGCUAAUACCGCAUAAUAUUAAUUAUUGCAUGAUAAUUAAUUGAAAGGUGCAAUUGCACCACUACCAGAUGGACCUGCGUUGUAUUAGCUAGUAGGUGUGGUAACGGAUCACCUAGGCGACGAUACAUAGCCGACCUGAGAGGCGGAUCGGCAACGCUGGGACGAGAGCACGGCCCAGACUCCUGCGGGAGGGAGCAGUAGGGGAUCUUCGGGAAAGGACGAAAGUCGGACCGAGCGACGCCGGGUGAGAGAAUAAGGUUGUCAGGUCGUAAAGCUCUGUUGUAAGAGAAGGACGGAAGUGAGAGUGAAAAGUGCACACUGUGACGGUAUCUUACCAAAAAGGGACGGCUAACUACGUG
rnacentral:rRNA from 1 species